rnacentral:rRNA from 1 species
GAUGAACGCUGGCGGCGUGCCUAAUACAUGCAAGUCGAGCGAACAGACGAGGAGCUUGCUCCUUUGACGUUAGCGGCGGACGGGUGAGUAACACGUGGGUAACCUACCUAUCUGACUGGGAUAACUUCGGGAAACCGGAGAUUAUACCGGAUAAUAUUUUGCACCGCAUGGUUCGAUAGUGAAAGUUGGCUUUGCUAUCACUUAUCGCUGGACCUGCGCCGUAUUAGCUAGUUGGUAAGGUAACGGCUUACCAAGGCUACGAUUCGUAGCCGACGUGAGAGGGUGAUCGGCCACACUGGAACUGAGACACGGUCCAGACUCCUGCGGGAGGCAGCAGUAGGGAAUCGGCCGCAAAGGGCGAAAGCCUUACGGAGCAACGCCGCGUGAGUGAUGAAGGUCUUCGGAGCGUAAAACUCGGUUAUUAGGUAAGAACAAACGUGUAAUUAACUGUGCACGUCUUGACGGUACCUAAUCAGAAAGCCACGGCUAACUACGUG